AACUUUGCGCAGUGGCAGUAUCAUAGCCAAUGAGGUUUAUCCGAGGCGCGAUUAUUACUAAUAGAAUAAAAUUCCCUAAGAACUCUUCCACCAUCCUUCCAUUAUUGUUCACUAAAACUUCAUGCCUUUUGCAUCUGGGAGGGAAGUUUCUUACAGUCACAAGACA
rnacentral:snRNA from 1 species